rnacentral:lncRNA from 12 species
UCGAACUCGUGCGCCGCCAUGUAGGGGAUCUCCAGCAGCAUGGCCGCCACCAGGUAGACGCACUCCAGCAGCUCCAGGUUGACGUGCAUGUGGAAGGGCACCUGGCGCCGCUUCUCCACCUUCUCCUGCUCGGCGUUGCGCUCCUGCAGGCUGCGCAGCAGCAGCCCCUGCCCCAGCAGCUCCUUGGCCCGCCCCGACGACUGGAUGUCCAGCAGCGCGUUGUGCGCGUCCUUGAUCAGCCCCUGCCGGAAGGCGCAGAUGCCCAGCUGCACCAUGGUGCGGUUGUACAGGAUCUGGAAUGACACAGGUGUGCACAGGUGA